UCCCCAUUUCCACAGAACUUACACUUGGGAACAUUUUUCUCUGCUUGGGCUUUGACCGCCACCCUUAAAUGGAAUAAAGUUAGCCGGAGACGCCAUCCUGGAUCCAGGCUGAGACCGUGGCAGCAGAAGGUCUGCCAGCUGUAGACUCUGGAGAUGGCUGGGCCCUGGAGCACGUGUGGAAGGCUGGCAUCCAGUCCUUGGUCUUGCACACCUUCUGUGUGUCUCACUUCAGGUCUUUCCCUGCCUCCUGCUCCAGCUACCCGGAUACUGUGAGAUCCAACCUCACACGGGAGUGUCUCUCCUCACCUGGAGAUUUCCCCAUGACACAGAGUUGAAAUCUUGUUCCUGGAGCUGCAACCAGCAUGAGCUGCCCUAGUGACCCAGUGAGUCUGAGUGAGUAGCAGGGCCACAGCCAUAACCCCGUCACUGCCCAGGCCAGGCUCUCUGACAUGCUUGCUGCAUCGACAAAGUGACAGCAGCUAUAAACGGCUACUCUUCCCACUUCAGAAGCUGAGACAGCAAAGCGAUUCUUUCAGACGCCUUAAAGCUCGCUAGGGACUGGUGUGGAAGCCUCGCGUCUCUUUCCAGUCUGAUGUUAUGACCUAUGAUGGGCCCAGCUUUAAUGGUGCCCUUUCUGCUUCUUCAUUCAGCAGCUCAGAGAGGGAGGGAUUUGUCGAUGAAUACAAGCAGCGGCCUGCUAUAGUUGCCUCCAUCUCCCUACAAACAUCUUAACAUGCUAAGGAAGAAGAUACUGGAAUGGCUCUGACCUGCAGGCAUACUAGAGACAUAUGUUUGAUCCUUUGGCUCUAUAUAAAGUUCUGCAUCAAACCCACAAGCAAACAUAAUCAGCUUCCUGAGAGCCUGUUCUGUAGGGAUGGGUGUUAGCCAGAAGCACAGGGCGCCCAAGUGGGGGCCUCCUGGAGGAACCGUUCCUGGAGCUGAGGGCAGAAGCGGGCACGCAGUGAAUCACCGAGGAAGAGAAGCUACUGAAGUGAUGUUCUAAUGCUCAGGCACAGACUUGUGUGACGGUCCUGAACUCUGUGUCUGUCUGUAUUCUUAGGGUCUAAAGCUUGAGAAAUUUCAAACACAGCACAUAUUUGGGUGCUGUGCACUGAAACAACAAAAAGUUUUGCAAUAAAGCUAUAAUAGUCCAGGGGAACCUAUUGUGUAGAAUCUGAUGGAAAGAUUAACGAAAGCUCGUAUGGGGAAGUCACGGAUAAUAUGAAUUUCUUUCUUUUUCUUCUUCUUCUGGUAGCUCUGGGGCUAGAACCAAGUGUCUGCCAGGCAAGCACUCUACCACUGAGCCCAGUGUGUGAACAUUUUAAAGCCACUGAGCGAGGUUAGAGAUGUGGCUUCAGUAGUUCCACUCUAGCGCUGAAAGAAAUCUGAUGGGCACGUGAAUUACUUAUCAACUUAAGUGUGAAAAACAUCUUGGAAGACAGGCCCAUUACUGUGAAUAAAACGCCAAGGAAAGGCAGUGCCUUGAGGUCGUGAGUCACCCGUGUCAAACAACUAGAAAGAACCGGACUCAAGAAAAACCAGAGUUACAAAGUAAUCUGAAAAGAAAAGAGACUUUAAAAUCUGAUUUUUUUUCCACAGAAAAAUUUUAUAUGAAAAUACAAAAGAGCCAAAAUUGCCAAAGCAAUAAUAAUUAAAACUAGCAGUGAUUUCAAAUUGUACCAUAGGGCCAUAGUAAUAAAAACAGUAUGUUACUGGUUUAAGAAAAUGUCUGGAUGGAUGGGGGAGCAGGGAACCCAGAAGUAAAAUCAUGUAGCUACAGCCACACAGUCUUUGGCAGAGGUGUCGAAUACAUACUCUCUUACUUACUUUUCAGUUGCUGUGAUAAAACACCAUGGCCAAGACAACUUAUAAAAGGAAGCAUUUAAUUGGGCUUUCAGUUUCAGAGGGUUAGGGUCCAUAAUGGCGGCACAGAGGUUUGUUGGCACGAACAGCUCACAGCCUGAACCCUGAUCCAAAAACAACAGGAGGUUUUUGAAGUCUCAAAUCCUUCCCCAUGACACACCUCCUCCAACAAAACCACAUCUCCUAACUCUUCCCAAACUGUUCCACCAACUGAGGACCAGUUACUUGAACAAGGGAGCCUAUAGAACCUUUGGUUUCACUCAGGUCACCAGACGGCAGCCUCUUCAGGAAACAUGGGAAAACCGAAAAGCCACUUGUAGAACAAUGGAACAACAGAGCCUCACACCCUACAUUAAAAUAAACUCAAACUGGAUUAAAAACCUCACCUGUGGAACUGGAAAGUCUGAAACUUUUGAAGGAAGAUGGAUAGACUACUUUAAGAUACAAGCACAGCCAAGGGCUGUCUGCAGGGUUUCAGUGCUUCAGGAAGUGACAGCAAGGACCGACAAAUGAAAUUGUGCGGCAUUUAAAGUCUUCUGCAUGACAAAGGAAAUGCCUUCAGAAUGCAAAGACAGAGGGGAAGACAUCCCUGUCAGCCACACAACCAAGGGAUUAGUAUGUAGAAUACAUUAAGAGUGCAAAAAGUUAAAUACCCAUUAAAUCCAAUCAGUAAAUGGCUAAUCUUGGUUGUCAACUUGACUGUAUUUGAAAUCAACUAAAACCCACGCUAUUCGGCACUCAUGUAAGGGAUUUUCUUAAUGAGAUUAUUUCAAGCACAAAAACCCACCUUAAAUCUGGGCCGCAUUCUGGUGGCAGCCCACACAGAAGGACCUGGAAGGAGGAAGCUUGGCUUCUGCCGGCUGCCCUCACUUUCACCAGCAAAUUUGUCUAUCCUGUGCUGCGGCCAGAAUUAAACCCAACUUCUUCAGGAUUCCCAUGUAGACUGAAGACCAGCUGUACUCCAGGAAUCCUCAGACGCCAGAACCAGACAGGGAUUGCAGAAUCCAGGUCACGGCCUGAACAACUACCAGAGUCUCAGUCUAUCUAUGCUAAGAACUACCUGCACUACCUGUACAACAUUCUGUUAGCCAGAAAAUAAGACACACCACACACACACACACACACACACACACACACACACACACACGCAAGUUCUCUUCCAUUAGAGAAUCCUGACUAAUAAAGCUAUCAUCAAGAACACAAAUGAUGCAGAUGGCCGUGAGGAUGUGGAGAGAGUCCUUAUACACUAUUGGUGGGAAUGAUGUAAAACAGUGCGGUCACCAUGGAAAUCGGUGCAAUGGUUCCUCAACAUGUUAGAAGUAGAAUUACCACACGACCCAGAUAUCUAACCAUGGAGUAGAUACCUAAAGGUCAGCUAGCCAUAGAAGAUACUUGUAUAGCCAUGUUUAUUAUGAUAUUAUUCCAAGCUGUGGAAUCAGCCUAGGGAUCCAUUAACAGAUGAAUGGAUAAAGAAAAAUGUGGUAUAAACACAAUGAGAUUUAACACAACUUUUAAGAAGAUCGUAAUUCUGCUAUUUGCAGGUAAAUGGAUGGAGUUGGAGAUCAUCGUCUUGAGUGAAAUAAGCCAGACUCAGAGACAAUUCUUACAUGCUUUCUCUUAACAUAUAAGACAUGAGAGUAGAAGGGUGACUGCUUGGGAAUGGAGAAGGGAGCCAGUGAGGGAGGAGGGCUGGGUGAGGAGGGAGGAAUGGGAGGGUAUCAGGAAGGAAUUUAUCAAACUGCUCUUAUAGGUUGCUCCGGAGGAUCCAUCGUGAGUCUAAUCAUUUGUUGACUUUAAAAUAUUAAUUAUGUAUCAGUAUUUGUUGAUAUAUGUGUCUCUGUACCACAUUUGUGGUACACAUAGCCAGACGAGGGCUUUGGAACUCCUGGAAGGAUAAUUAUAGAUGGGUGUUAGCUGCCAUGUAGUUCUGGGACUCAAACCCAAGUCCUCUGAAAGAGCAGCUAUGUUCUUAACCACUGAUCCAUCUCUCCAGCCCCAAAUUCAAUGGCUCUUAAGGGUCAUUGGUUAUGUCUCUGACCUUCAUGCCCUUCGUGAUGACUAUACCCACUCUGCCACUGGUGGCUGAGCAUUGCUGUAGAGUCUAGAGCCAUCCAUGAAACCAGGGAGUCCAUUUCAAUGCAGCAUCUCCAUCCCAGGUUCAGCCUAGAAAUCCUGGCCACAGGAGGAUCAGUACAGUGUGCAGACGGCAGCAGUGAGCGGGCUGCUGUCUUUGAACUACUUAAGGGGCAGCCCUGAGGGAAUACCUAGAAGGGAAGUCCUACUAUUGUGCAGAGCUUGGAGUGGUCUUGUCAAAUACAUUUUAUCUCGGAAGAGAACGACUUGAGAACUGGAAGGAAGCCAAUGCAUUGACAAUAGCUAGUGGUUUGGACAAUUGAGAACUUGAAAGAAUUAACUGAAAUGUCUGGGACAAAGAGUUUUGAGGAAACAGUAUAUGAAUACUUGUAAUGGGUCCAGGAUGUAAAAAUUUGUUUGUUCCAUGAGAACGCUCUCUUAAAAGUGUGGGGGCUCUCAAGCAGGGAACAACAUCCCUUGCUCUAAGAAUUAGAGUCUUUUUUUCCUUCUCACCCUAGUAUUUCCUCAAUGAGAGUAUGAGAAUCACUGGGAUUGGGUGACAGGUUCAACAAUAUGGACAUUCCAAUACACAGGUGACCUGGCCGCAUCACUGCUGAGAACACAAUGUCCUUGGAGCAGUAACUAACCUUGAACCUUCAAUAUGGCACGGCAGCCUAAAGGUACCACCUGUAACAUAUGCCUGGGGGGUUGACUGUGUUGAAUUCUUUAUCAUGGAGGAGAUAAUUUGGUUAUUGGAAUAGAAAUCCAUCUGAUACAGAUUUGCUUUCUCUGUCCUCUAUGCUUCCGUGAAAAACAUCAGGUUUAAUAAAUGCCUGGUUUUAUGGUCAGUAGCCCACAAGUUUUUCGUAGACAUCAGCCUUGAUUCUUUCCUUCUCUUCCCCUUUAUUCAUAUACUUUUCUCAGCAUACUGGGGGCCACACAAGGCCAUCAGAAGCACAGGCUCAAAUGAGAAAGUCAUAAUUAAAGUUGAUUUUUUUGUAGCCUGUGUCCUUGCUUGUAACUGAAAUCUAGUUUCUUAGAUUUAUUGUCAGCUUGUGUGUGUGUGUGUGUGUGUGUGUGUGUGUGUGUGUGUGUGUGUGUGUUUAGACAUGCACACAAGCAAUCAGAUACCAACAGGAGUCAGAAGAAGGUGUUAGAUACCCUGGAGCUUGACUUACAAAC